rnacentral:rRNA from 1 species
UACGUAGGAGGCGAGCGUUGUCCGGAGUUACUGGGCGUAAAGGGUGCGCAGGCGGCGGUUCGCGUGGAUAGGUGAAAUCUCCUGGCUUACCUGGGAGGGUGGUAUCCAGGCGGGAUCGCUUGAGGGUCGCAGAGGGGCGUGGAAUUCCGGGUGGAGCGGUGAAAUGCGUAGAGAUCCGGAGGAACACCGACGGCGUAGGCAGCGCCCUGGACGACACCUGACGCUGAGGCACGAAAGCUGGGGGAGCGAACAGG